AUUGCUUCUCAGCCUUUUGGCUGAGAUCAAGUGUAAAAAACUAAUAAUAGUAAUUCUUUUUUUUCCACAGAGGGAAGGAGAACUGGAUAAAACUAUU
rnacentral:sRNA from 1 species